GCAAACAGAGGCCAAAUCAAGAGAAUAGCAUUUGAAACCAAUGUGUCCUCAAUGUCAAAAGGUCCCAGGCACACACAAGAACAUGUGUUCCCACCCAUUCCUGCCCCUGUCUCGGGAGACUAGCUUGGGGGAUUUGGAUCUCCUGAAGUGUCUCAGCUCCACCUCUGCUCUCCACAAGGCCCCAUUCCUCUGCCAGCACCGAAAACAUGAGAGGGUAUCCAUUGAGAACUGAGAGCAACUGCUUGUGGUACAGUUGAGUCAGAGGACACGCUUCCUUUAAAGACGGGGGAGAACUUUCCCUGUGAGAACACUGGCAGCCUUCACAUCAGUUCCUCGGAGCCAACAGCAGGAGCCCUCAGAGCUUUGCCAGCCCCAGAAUGAACCGGGAGCUCCACCUGACAGGUGGUUAAACAGACCAACUGUGCAACAUAACUGGACCCACUGGGCCACACCCACUCGGCCGUUUAGCCUGGGAUAUGAUUCUCAGAAAACAGUGAUGCUAAAUAGGAUACGAAAGUCACAGUUCCCAGAGGGACCUCUGGUGGAUGGAUGAUAAGGUCAGCUGAGUCACAGGCUGUUUGUCAAGGCUGUCGUAAAAAGGAGCUAAAUAAAGGGAAAGCAUACUUUAAUUUUCUCAAGAAAACACUGUUAUCUGGUUUUUCAAAAAAAAAAGAGGGAAAAAAAGGCUUUCUGAUUGUAGUUGUGGGGACAGGGUUUUCGGGAGGGUACCCCAAUACCUACUAUGUAGCUCAAGCUGACCUCAAACCUCUUGCCACCUUCUACCUCAUCUCACCACACCCCAGUACCCACCACCCCGUGCUGGUGUGCACUACCACAUCCAGCUUCAAGUUUGUUUUGCCAGGAGCUGCCCAGGAGUUUUCACUGUGCCAUGGAGACUAUCUGAACAUUUCAGAACUCUGUUCUAUUGCCAUGCAAGGGAAAUAAAUGAACAGUGAGGCCAGAGAGCUGCGCUCUGCCGACGUGCGCUCAGGGGCCCAAGGGUGGUCAGUGUGAUACCCCGUCUGUAGCUUCUACCAUCCUUUGGGAGCAGGCUGUCUCUCUCAUCCUUAGAUACGUUCUGCACAGGUUUGAAUUCUAUGAAAAGCAGUCAGCAUAGAUACGAAAAGCUGAAGUUUGAUUUGUCACCACGGUGACACUUCCUAUUUGAAUGAAUCACAUUCAUGGGACGAGAACCAAGGCAGGCAAUUUCUAUACACAAAAAAAACCCAAAGCAUCCGAAAGGUAUUUUUUGUAAAUGUCCUGUCAAGAAAGAAAACUUCCAGACACAAAGAAACAUAAGUGUACAUAUUUCCAGGAUUAAGACAUCAAAAUUCAAACUUCAAUCUACUCAUCCACUUAUUUUAAUAAAGGUUUGUUUAUAAAUAAAUAGGUAUCUCAGAAAGG
rnacentral:lncRNA from 1 species